CCAUGAAGCUGGAUUCGCUAGUAAUCGCGCAUCAGCCACGGCGCGGUGAAUACGUUCCCGGGCCUUGUACACACCGCCCGUCACACCAUGGAGUCGGGAAUGCCCGAAGCCGGUGGCCCAAUCGAGAGAAGGGAGCCGUCGAAGGCAGGCCGGAUGACUGGGGUGAAGUCGUAACAAGGUAUC
rnacentral:rRNA from 1 species